CAUUCAUAUCAUAUCGUAGCCUAAGUUUUAAAGGGAUACUCCAUCGUGUUUUUAUAUUAAACUGUUUUUCCCUUACCUAAGACGAGUUGAUACAUACCUCUCUCGUCUCAGUGCGUGCACUCAAUCGUUUUGGCGCACGGUGACACUUUGAAAGCACUCAGCUUAGCCCAUUCAUUCAAUAUGGGCCGAACAGAGAAGUUACCAAACACCUCCAUGUUUUCCCUAUUUAAAUACAGUUACCCGCGUAGUGUAACUCGACCUAGGACGGUAACACAAAACAAAACGUUGCGCUUUUCUAAGAGUGUAAAAUGGAUAACUAUAUUGUGUGGCGGAAUACCAUGUCAAGUGCUUGUAAGCACUUCGUCUUGGCGCAGUAAUGUCUUCACUAGAGGGAUUGAUUUUUCACGAGUGAAGAUAUUACUGCGCUUUCAGUAUUUCAUAUUUCACACCUGCUUUCAAAGUGUCACCGCGCACCAAAGCGAUUGAGUGCACGCACUGAGACGAGAGAGGUAUGUAUCAACUCGUCUUAGUUAAGGGAAAAACAUAGUUUAAUAUGAAAACACGGUGGAGUAUCCCUUUAAAGCAUUGCCUUUUAAAUAUAUACAAUAGAACAUGUAUGAUGUAUUAUUAUAGGUGAUAUUAUUCUUGCAAAGCUCUGAUUUCUGAGAGAUGCACAGAGAGAAAACAGAAAUGCUGUGUUUGAGUUGUGCUCUUUUCACUCAAAGUUUACAUUCAUUCACUUUACACUCAUGACUUUAGAGGUCUGUGUAUAAUAUUGCGCUGAUCCCCUGGCACACCUGUUAUCUAGCAAACUCUGGACUUCGCCAGCUUCAGACGAGUAUUCAGGCAGAAUUAUUCCUUGUCUGUUAUUCAUUUUUUAAGCCAUUAUCCAUGCCAUUCGGUGUACAUAUAAGUAUGAAUGUAUAAAAAAAUUCUUUUUAUUUUUUUUUUUUUUGACCAACUUAAUUUUUUUGCUUAUUCUUUCAGACCCAUGUUCAAGGUGCUCUCUCGGCUCCUCACCACUCAGGAAGUCAUGGCCCACCGCCUGUGAUGUUGCUUCAUGCCCCACAACCUCCCCCUCAGCAGGGCUCUGGUCCCCAACACGGACCUCCACCCCAGCAGGGACCCCACCAGCACUUCACCUUCUUAGGACCACCACAGAUGCAAGUGCAGGCUCAUCCUUCCCAGCAGAUUCAAUUCCACCCUUCUGGAAACUGACAGAGCGACUGAGACUGUACGGAUCACCACAGUGUGACAGAGCGCUUCUGUGUGAUCGCAUGUUCACUUGUACAUAAUAUCCACCUGAACAGAUUUUGUUUUAGAUACCUCUGGCAAGACUGAAUGUGCUCGUUUUAUUUUUUGUUAUUUUUAAUUUGAGUGGACAGGGACACAUAGUGUCUAAAGCAGAAAGAGGGAACGAGUGAGCGUGUAAGACAAAAAUGAGGGACAUUUUUAUAAAAAAAAAUACAAAGGCCUCUCCUUUUUGUCCUCUACCCCCUUAUUAAAUAAGCAAAUAAUAAAUGGUUAAAAAAUGAACAAAAAAAAUAAAAAACAAAAGUGCAUAAAAAUAAAUUUUUUAACUCUC